rnacentral:rRNA from 1 species
GACGAACGCUGGCGGCGUGCUUAACACAUGCAAGUCGAACGCUGAAGCCCGAGCUUGCUCGGGUGGAUGAGUGGCGAACGGGUGAGUAACACGUGAGUAACCUGCCCAUGUCUCUGGGAUAAGCGCUGGAAACGGCGUCUAAUACUGGAUACGAGCAUCCACUGCAUGGUGAGGUGUUGGAAAGAUUUAUCGGACAUGGAUGGACUCGCGGCCUAUCAGCUAGAUGGUGAGGUAAUGGCUCACCAUGGCGACGACGGGUAGCCGGCCUGAGAGGGUGACCGGCCACACUGGGACUGAGACACGGCCCAGACUCCUACGGGAGGCAGCAGUGGGGAAUAUUGCACAAUGGGCGCAAGCCUGAUGCAGCAACGCCGCGUGAGGGAUGACGGCCUUCGGGUUGUAAACCUCUUUUGUCAGGGAAGAAGCGAAAGUGACGGUACCUGGAGAAAAAGCACCGGCUAACUACGUGCCAGCAGCCGCGGUAAUACGUAGGGUGCAAGCGUUGUCCGGAAUUAUUGGGCGUAAAGAGCUCGUAGGCGGCUUGUCGCGUCUGCUGUGAAAACCCGAGGCUCAACCUCGGGCCUGCAGUGGGUACGGGCAGGCUAGAGUGCGGUAGGGGAGAUUGGAAUUCCUGGUGUAGCGGUGGAAUGCGCAGAUAUCAGGAGGAACACCGAUGGCGAAGGCAGAUCUCUGGGCCGCUACUGACGCUGAGGAGCGAAAGCAUGGGGAGCGAACAGGAUUAGAUACCCUGGUAGUCCAUGCCGUAAACGUUGGGAACUAGAUGUAGGGCCUGUUCCACGGGUUCUGUGUCGUAGCUAACGCAUUAAGUUCCCCGCCUGGGGAGUACGGCCGCAAGGCUAAAACUCAAAGGAAUUGACGGGGGCCCGCACAAGCGGCGGAGCAUGCGGAUUAAUUCGAUGCAACGCGAAGAACCUUACCAAGGCUUGACAUAUACGAGAACACUGCAGAGAUGCAGGACUCUUUGGACACUCGUAUACAGGUGGUGCAUGGUUGUCGUCAGCUCGUGUCGUGAGAUGUUCGGUUAAGUCCGGCAACGAGCGCAACCCUCGUCCUAUGUUGCCAGCACGUUAUGGUGGGAACUCAUGGGAUACUGCCGUGGUCAACACGGAGGAAGGUGGGGAUGACGUCAAAUCAUCAUGCCCCUUAUGUCUUGGGCUUCACGCAUGCUACAAUGGCCGAUACAAAGGGCUGCGAUACCGCGAGGUGGAGCGAAUCCCAAAAAGUCGGUCUCAGUUCGGAUUGGGGUCUGCAACUCGACCCCAUGAAGUCGGAGUCGCUAGUAAUCGCAGAUCAGCAACGCUGCGGUGAAUACGUUCCCGGGCCUUGUACACACCGCCCGUCAAGUCAUGAAAGUCGGUAACACCCGAAGCCGGUGGCCUAACCCCUUGUGGGAGGGAGCUGUCGAAGGUGGGACUGGUGAUUAGGACUAAGUC